rnacentral:tRNA from 2 species
GCCCCGGUAGCGUAGUGGAUAACGCGACUGUCUUCUAAACAGUUAUAGGCAGGUUCGAUUCCUGUCCGGGGUAC